UGAAUUUUCAGGUUCCUUUGUUAUAAGGCCAGUGCCAACUCUUAUAACAUAGUGACUUUUUGCUCUUUGAUUUGAUUAUAACCUUUAAAGAAUAGAAAAUAGCUUAUAAAAUUGUACUAAAUAAUUGUAUUUGAAGAAACUAUGAAGAAAUCUGCCCGAAAUUUGCUGUAUGAUAGAUUACACAAAGGGGGUGUAUUAAUAUGUGUUGGAUUGACGAUUUAUGGCUCAGUUAUGCUUGCUGAUCAUUUCUACAAGUAUUACAAAUAUGUCAGACCUCAAAUACAAACAGCAAAGUUAGCAGCUGAGCAAGAGUUACUAGCAGAGGGGUCUUCAGAUAGAAUUUUGUUAAAAGAAUAGGUAGUCAGAGUUAUUGUUUUUAUAGUUCUUAAUAAUAUAUGUUGAGAAUAGAUGAGAAGACAUCUUCAAACUACAAAUCUCUUCAAACUGAUUUGUACUGCUUCAUGUUUAUUAGACGUCAUUGAUUUUUUAAUGAUGUGUAACAUUUGUUACAUAUUGAUGAUUUAUGAGUUCUUAAUUAAUUUUGAUU
rnacentral:lncRNA from 1 species